AUGCCCAACUCCAUAAGCACAAUGUGUCAUUUAAGAAUAAUGGCAAUAAGGAUUCUUGUUUUUUCUGUAGAAAGAAAUGGCAUAUGAAGAAAGAUUGCCAAAAGUUUAAGAGAUGGCUCGAAAAGAAAGGAAUUUCUCAAAACAAGGAAGCCGAAACCAAGUGAACAAUAUGUCUAUUCAAGAAAUAAGAUGCUUUCAGAAGUGCAGGCUGUUGGGAUCUUUAGAUUAUUUUUAAAAAUUGGUCUUGUUUUAGACCUUGAAAAUGUAUUUUUUAUUCCUAAUUUUCUAAAAUUUUGGAUUUAGUUUUAAAGUUGAUUGAGAUUGACUUUAA